rnacentral:rRNA from 1 species
GUGUCAGCCGCCGCGGUAAUACGUAGGGUGCGAGCGUUAAUCGGAAUUACUGGGCGUAAAGCGUGCGCAGGCGGUGAUGUAAGACAGUUGUGAAAUCCCCGGGCUCAACCUGGGAACUGCAUCUGUGACUGCAUCGCUGGAGUGCGGCAGAGGGGGACGGAAUUCCGCGUGUAGCAGUGAAAUGCGUAGAUAUGCGGAGGAACACCGAUGGCGAAGGCAAUCCCCUGGGCCUGCACUGACGCUCAUGCACGAAAGCGUGGGGAGCAAACAGGAUUAGAAAUCCGCGUAGUCC